rnacentral:lncRNA from 1 species
AACAUUGCCUAGAGAGAGAUAAAGGUCCAACAUUGUUCUUCUCUUUGCUGUUUUGUUUGCUUUUAUUGUUGCUAUUAAGCUAACAUUGCAUCCUUUAUCAGAAAAAAGAAAUGCAUUCUCAAUCAUAAUGUGCUUUAGUGUAUUUACAUCCAUGGCAGUGUUUCAGUAUGUCCAUGCUUUUUGAGUACAUUGUCUGGUGCUUGACAACCCUCCAACACUUUUCAUAAGUUUAAAAUUUAAAAACAUAAUCACAUAUGUAAUGGGGUCUGAGAGUAUUUUCUCUUUGUCUUUCCCCAUCUCAUGACAAAACUGUCCAGCGCACCAAAUUUGAACUGUGACUUGUAUAUUUUCAAAAUAUCCCUCUUCAUUUAGCUAUCUUUUUCUUUCUUCUGCAGUUCUUCCUGUGAUAAACUGUCCUUCAGAGGUCCAGGUGCGAGAGAAUGAGAGACUGCCCAACUGCACAGCUGAGGGUAACCCCUCUCCAGAGUUCACCUGGUUCAAAGGUCAUCAGCAGGUGGAUCCCCAGUCAACUCUUAGCAGGGUGGAUGGAGGCCGGUAUACUGUGACUGCCAGGAACAGUAUGGGAAUCGUCAAUGAAACUGUGGAUGUCGAGAUUUGGUUUGGGCCUGAGAUCAAUUGUUCUACAAAGGCCCGGGUCAAAGAGAACGACAGACUUCCCAGGUGCAGUGCUAUGGGCAAUCCCCCUCCAGAAGUCAUCUGGUUCAAAGGUCAUCAGGUGGAUCCCCUUUCACCUCUUAGCAGGAUGCACGGAGGCCAGUACACUGUAAUUGCCAAGAACAGUGUGGGAGCUGUCAAUCAAACUGUGGGCAUUGAGAUUUUGUGUAAGAGAUUUCACAUCCAAAAUGUGUUGCAUUAUGACAUCUGACAGUGUUAGACUCUUGUGGGCCAUAGAGAAGGACUUCACUGAGAUGUCUUUCCUUGUUUCUCCUAACUCAGACGGUCCAAUGAUCACCUGUCCUCAGACACUUGAGGUGAGAGAGAAUGAGGCACUAAACGGCUGCACAGUUGAAGGCAAUCCCCCGCCAGAGCUCACCUGGUACCAAGGAGAUGUUAAAGUUGACCGCAUAUCAAAACUGGGCAAAAUGGAUGGAGGCCAGUACACACUGUUUGCGGAGAGCAAGCCUUUUUCUUCAGUCCAUCAUUCUGUGGAGGUGGUUAUAAUCAGCAAAGGUAAUUACAUUUCCAUGUCUGGUGGUUGUGUCCUAUUGGUGGUGCUGUUCAGUCACAUCUUUCACUGACUGUGAAUGGACGUUCACUGAUGGACUGAUGGAAUCUACACAUCUUGUGAUUGGCCGAUGGACAAAGAAGUGUCUUCAUGGAUGUUGUAGUUAGCAAUGAUUUCCUGGGUGGUUUUGUGGAACGAACUCUUUUCUGCCAUAGCACUUUUCAGUUCAUCUCAACCAUCUGACAUGUCCAGCACAUGGGCAUGGAGACAAACUCUCAUCUUCCCCAUUUCUAAAGAAAAAAACCCUGAACAUUAAAUAAAGCAGUCUCUUCAGCUAUGAAGCUCUUAGGU